GCUGAGCAAGGCUGUGCCUUUCAGUACAUAGACUUGUUUGGGAUAAAAAGAGCUGAGGGAGCAAUUCCAAGAAGCUCAAAAGGCCUACAUAGCAAUGCAGUUAGCUCAGGGUUUGAGCUCUAACAGCAGAUGCUGGGCAGAUACCAGUGCUGUUGCAUUUAUUAGAUCCCAAGGCCUGAAACCCACUGGGGUUCCCAGGCUGUGCACGGCCUUUACUACCUCUCAGUGAGAAUAUCAGACUGCAUGCCUUUCUCCAUUUUGUGAUCAAAGUGUAUGUCUCCUUACAGCGAGCAGCUCUGCAAGGGGGCUAUUUUUACAUCCCGAACGACCUGAUGGGGAGCGAGGCAUUAAAUGCAGGCCUUUUGUGUCUCAGGAGAAGGAUCUGCAUCACAUGUGUUCCAAACUGGCUUCUGAAACUUUCCUCUUGGAGCUGAUCCACUUCUGGGGAUAUAAAUACUACCAAGUGAAUGUACAUGUUAAAAUUGUUCAGUGAUGGAAGCAUCUCUGCAAGGAGAAUCUCCUUUUUGUGAAGAACAGCCGUUUAUUUAUUUGAGGAAUCAAAAGGAUGCUGUUUCUUUUCUGCAGUAUCUGCAUCAGGAUCUGCACUUGUGCAAUGACUUAGAGGACCUUGCCCUUCUGAGCAGCGAUGUUAUACGAGCAACAUAAACAGAGGACCAAAAUAUGGCCUUAAUUAGAAAGAAAAAUUAAUUGUAGUGUCAACAAUAAUGCAAGAUGGUGUAACGUUAGCUGCUGGACUGCAUACAGAAGAAAUCAAACGGUGAGAGUGAAGUUAUUUACUCAGUUCUAAGCCUCUGAGAAAGCUGGAUUUCAGCCAGUGCCCAGCCUAGAAAGUUCCGCGGUUCCACCCAGGCCACUUCACUUCUUUGAUUUAGGGAUAUACUUAAUGGUAAGCAUGUGAAGACCAGUGCAAGGUUUUACUUGUGCCCAGGAUCGCAGGCCUUCAUACGGUCUGAUGUCAACAUGACUGAGGUUACUAAAAAAAAAAUCAUUUCAGAUGCUGAAUGGCCAGGUUAUCUACAUCUCC
ensembl:lncRNA